GUCUGCAGAGGGCAUGAAGUAUCAGAAACUCGGAACGGUGCGGCAGCAUUAAACUUACAGCAUGAACAAAGUUCAUCGAGAUCAACAUUUUCUUUAGUGACGAAGCCAUGGUAUGGACGAUCCGAGCCGAAGAUGAGCUGUGACACGAAUGACAGUGAAACUGAAACUGACUUCGAAACUCUUUUGGAGUAACCCCAAUGCGAAAGUGUUUUCCAAUUCCGUCCGGCAAUGAAAUACACAGAGGAAUAGAAACAUGUUUUUUUGAAUAAAUAGAGUUUGAAUAGUC